AAAUAGAAGACGAAGAGGAAGAAAAGAGACUUAUCUUGGGUUUUAUUUCCUGUGUGUGUGUGUGUGCAAAUCACUGGCACUUAGUUCAUCUAGAGCAAGGCAAGGUGGAGUCAGGGCAAUGGGAGACUUAAUCACGAAGCUACUGUAAACUUUAAAAAUUACUGCAAGAUAUUUUAUAAAGUUUUAGUUUUUCUUUUGUUUUGGUUUGUUUUGGUUUGUUGUUUUGUUUUGUUUUGUUUGUUUUUGAAGGGGAGGAGGGUGGGAUUGGGUGGAUGGGGACCUUUUUCUUUUUGCGUUUCAGUUCUUAGGUCUUGGUUAUUUAUAUAUACAUAUAUAUAUAUUUAAAAAAUAAGCUGUUAGAUAUAUCUUCUGUUUAAUAACUGUGUAGAGACAACAUUGAUUCUUAUUUAUUUUGCGGAGGAGGGGGAAAAAAGACACAGCACCCCCGUAAGUGUUCAUCUUGUGACUUUGAGAAAGAAGAAUCGCCGCCUUUUUUCCUCCUCCUCAGGAGUUACGUGACCAAGUGUAACUUAUUCUGGCCCAAGUUCAAAGGUUAAGCAAACAAAGAAACAAACACGGUUUUACGCCUGGAAGACAAAACACAGUGAGAAGUUCUUCUUGACUGAGAUUUUAAGAAUGUAGGCUUAGCAUUAGUGUUCAGCUCUUUUAUGACCUUCGAUUGCUGCUCGUUGGGUUCCUAUGGGUGUAUGUUGUAUCGCAAGAUUAUUAUUAUUUUUUUUUAAUGAUAAUGUUGUAUGAGUUCUUUUUGGUUGUUGUUGUCGUCGUUGGUUUUUUUAAUCAUUUUUCCCCUUCUCGGACCAGUUUUACUUGUACAUAGGUUUGAAGAUUAAAGCGAAUUUUUAAAGACACAACUGGGGCAAAGACCUUUGACUUUGGCCCUGCUUCCCCAUUCCCCCAAAACGGGAGGGAUUUAUUUUACGUUUCCGUUCUAUUUAUUUAUUUAUUUUCCCUACUCCCAACCUUUUCUCUCGUAUUGCUGUGUGCAUGUCAGACACCAGGGGGUGAUGGCUGGGGAGGGGGGGAGGCAAGGGUGCAGGAGAGGGGGGCAGUUUUAAUUGCAUGACAUUGCUGUAAAUUAGUCUCUUUUGCUUUCGUUGUCUUUCCUGCCUCCGCCCUCUCUCUACUUCUCCUCCGAGCUCCCCUCCCAUCACCCCCGUCCUUCUUUUCCCUCUUUUCUCUUCCCUUGUGUAUAGAUUUUGAUGCUUCUGUUACAUUGUACCUCUACGAAAGGCUGGGAUUUCAAUACAAAAUAAUAAUAGUAAUUUAAAAAAUACCUAUAUCAGCAAAACCCACGUGGUACAAGCAGGAAGGGGAUUACUUACACAAGAUAUAAGAAUAAAUGAAAGCAAUACCUCUUGUUAUCCUUCCUAUUUUGUACUUUGAAGACACACACGCGCGCACACACACAUAUACAGACACAAACUGACGUUAUUUAAUGGUUUAAAAUGGACAACAAAAAUCUGAUGUAUCCCUUGUUAAAUAACUGUGAGCAACUUUAGUUCAAAAACCAAUAAAUUCAUUCAGUAAAGAUACGAGCUGUGGCGUGUCCUCUUUGUGUCCGUCGGACGAGCCGCCGGGCCCGGUAAGUAGCGCUGCACCGCGUUCCGCAUCGGGGCGGAGCCGCCCGCCUCGCGCUGCCUGUAGGGGGCGCUGCUCCCAACCGCUUCGAGUUCUCGAGGCGCAGCUUCCCGCACGCUCGGCGGGAAGUGAGCGGCACGCGGCGCGGCCGUUGGGCGCGAGGCGGAUCGAGGGGUGGCGGCGGUCCGCGGAGCGGGAAGACAGAAACACCAUAGCAGUUCCAGCCGGUCACCUCGAGUCCCACAGCAGCGUUUAUUCUGGCAAAACUGGGCUGCUUCCUGGAAGAAAAAGAUGUACCAGUGGUAAAACAUGAGCCAAGGAUUGGGAGAUCUUCAUCCCAAUUUGUAUGCCAGGAGUGUAAUUCUUUGACACUGCGGGAACGAACCCAAAAGCCAUAUGAAGCAGCAGUCCAAAGGCAAGCAUACCAUAUUUUGUUGGAAAGACGUCCUCAUCUGUCACGAGUUUCUGCACUGAGCUCAU